rnacentral:sRNA from 1 species
UCGCAGGUUCGAAUCCUGCACGACCCACCAAUUUAACAUCGCAGUCAGAUGUUAAGCGUGAAGGAUAACGUUGCGUCAGCAACGGCCCGUAGGGCGAGCGAAAGCGAGUCAUCCUGCACGACCCACCA